AUCACCCAGGGAUCUUGUUAAAAUGCAAAUUCUGAUUCGGUAGUCUGUAAUGAAGCUGGAGAUUCUGCAUUUCCAGUAGGAUUCCAGGUGAUGCUGA
rfam:Pan troglodytes isolate Yerkes chimp pedigree #C0471 (Clint) chromosome 4, whole genome shotgun sequence.